CCUACGGGAGGCAGCAGUGGGGAAUAUUGGGCAAUGGGCGCAAGCCUGACCCAGCAACGCCGCGUGAAGGAUGAAGGUUUUCGGAUUGUAAACUUCUGUCGCGAGGGACGAAGAAUGACGGUACCUCGUAAGAAAGCCCCGGCUAACUACGUGCCAGCAGCCGCGGUAAUACGUAGGGAGCGAGCGUUGUCCGGAAUUACUGGGUGUAAAGGGAGCGUAGGCGGGGAUGCAAGUUGGGUGUCAAAACUACCGGCUCAACUGGUAGUCGCACUCAAAACUGCAGCUCUUGAGUGAAGUAGAGGCAGGCGGAAUUCCUAGUGUAGCGGUGAAAUGCGUAGAUAUUAGGAGGAACACCAGUGGCGAAGGCGGCCUGCUGGGCUUUUACUGACGCUGAGGCUCGAAAGUGUGGGGAGCAAACAGGAUUAGAUACCCCUGUAGUC
rnacentral:rRNA from 1 species